UACGUAGGUAGCAAGCGUUAUCCGGAUUUACUGGGUGUAAAGGGCGUGUAGGCGGGGACGCAAGUCAGAUGUGAAAACCACGGGCUCAACCUGUGGCCUGCAUUUGAAACUGUGUUUCUUGAGUACUGGAGAGGCAGACGGAAUUCCUAGUGUAGCGGUGAAAUGCGUAGAUAUUAGGAGGAACACCAGUGGCGAAGGCGGUCUGCUGGACAGCAACUGACGCUGAGGCGCGAAAGCGUGGGGAGCAAACAGG
rnacentral:rRNA from 1 species